AUGUAUUUAGAACUAAAAUACAUCCUCUCGAGAAGAGAAGAUAGGCGUGCGUGCCUAGACUGUAAGGUGAUACCUGGGGAGAGUGUUGUACCCCAGCAUAAGCUGGUGGUUGCUGACUUCCGCUUUCGGAUUCGUGUCCAGCGGGAUAAGCGUGCCAAGAUCGCUAGAACGAAGUGGUGGAAGCUCAAGGGGGAGGUAGCUCAGGUGUUCAAGGAGUGGGUAUUUAAGGAGGGCCCUUGGGAGGAAGGAGGGGAUGCGGACAAUGUAUGGAUGAAGAUGGCGACUUGCAUUCGUAAGGUGGCCUCAGAGGAGUUUGGAGUGUCCAGGGGAAGGAGAAGCGAAGAUAAGGAUACCUGGUGGUGGAAUGAUGAUGUCCAGAAGGCGCUUAAAAAGAAGAAAGAUUGCUUCAGACGCCUAUACCUGGAUAGGAGUGCAGACAACAUAGAGAAGUACAAGAUGGCGAAGAAGGCCGCAAAGCGAGCUAUUGGUGAAGCAAGGGGUCGGGCAUAUGAGGACCUCUACCAACGGUUAGGCACGAAGGAAGGUGAAAGGGACAUCUAUAAGAUGGCUAAGAUCCGGGAGAGGAAGACGAGGGAUAUUGGCCAAGUCAAAUGCAUCAAGGACGGAGCAGGCCAACUCUUGGUGAAGGACGAAGAGAUUAAGCAUAGAUGGCGGGAGUACUUCGACAAGCUGUUCAAUGGGGAGAAUGAGAGUUCUACCAUUGAACUGAAUGACUCCUUUGAUGAGACCAGCAUGCGUUUUGUGCGGCGCAUCCAGGAGUCUGAGGUGAAGGAGGCUUUAAAAAGGAUGAAAGGGGGCAAGGCGAUGGGCCCUGAUUGUAUCCCCAUUGAGGUGUGGAAAGGUCUCGGGGACAUAGCGAUAGUAUGGCUAACCAAGCUUUUCAACCUCAUUUUUCGGGCAAACAAGAUGCCAGAAGAAUGGAAACGGAGUAUAUUAGUACCAAUCUUCAAGAACAAGGGGGAUGUUCAGAGUUGUACUAAUUACCGUGGAAUUAAGCUGAUGAGCCAUACAAUGAAGCUAUGGGAGAGAGUCAUUGAGCACCGCUUAAGAAGAAUGACAAGCGUGACCAAAAAUCAGUUUGGUUUCAUGCCUGGGAGGUCGACCAUGGAAGCCAUUUUCUUGGUACGACAACUUAUGGAGAGAUAU
rnacentral:rRNA from 1 species